AGUGAACGCUGGCGGUAGGCCUAACACAUGCAAGUCGAACGGCAGCACAGUAAGAGCUUGCUCUUACGGGUGGCGAGUGGUGGACGGGUGAGGAAUACAUCGGAAUCUACUUUUUCGUGGGGGAUAACGUAGGGAAACUUACGCUAAUACCGCAUACGACCUACGGGUGAAAGCAGGGGAUCUUCGGACCUUGCGCGAUUGAAUGAGCCGAUGUCGGAUUAGCUAGUUGGCGGGGUAAAAGCCCACCAAGGCGACGAUCCGUAGCUGGUCUGAGAGGAUGAUCAGCCACACUGGAACUGAGACACGGUCCAGACUCCUACGGGAGGCAGCAGUGGGGAAUAUUGGACAAUGGGCGCAAGCCUGAUCCAGCCAUACCGCGUGGGUGAAGAAGGCCUUCGGGUUGUAAAGCCCUUUUGUUGGGAAAGAAAAGCAGCAGGUUAAUACCCCGCUGUUCUGACGGUACCCAAAGAAUAAGCACCGGCUAACUUCGUG
rnacentral:rRNA from 1 species